UACGUAGGGUGCAAGCGUUGUCCGGAAUUAUUGGGCGUAAAGAGCUCGUAGGCGGUUUGUUGCGUCGGCUGUGAAAUCCCGAGGCUCAACCUCGGGUCUGCAGUCGAUACGAGCAAACUAGAGUGUUGCAGGGGAGACUGGAAUUCCCGGUGUAGCGGUGAAAUGCGCAGAUAUCGGGAGGAACACCAAUGGCGAAGGCAGCUCGCUGGGACGGUACUGACGCUGAGGCGCGAAAGCGUGGGGAGCAAACAGG
rnacentral:rRNA from 1 species